CAAACUCACUCAAAUUUCCGUUACCAUUUUCCGAACCCAAAAAAUAUUUUUUGCCUUUUUUUUAUCUCCCCUGAUCUCUCUCCCUUCCCCCACCCCCUCCGAUCCAAACUCCCGGCGAACGCCGCCAUCCGAAUUGGAAACCCUAGGCGGCCGCUUUAAAGCUCGUGGGCGUCUCUAGGGCCUCUCGUUCGACGGAGCCGGCCCGCGGUGGCGGCGGUGUCCGGCCAUGUCGACGGAGGACGAGAAGCUCCUCAAGGAGGCGAAGAAGCUUCCGUGGGACGAGCGGCUUCAGCAUAAGAACUGGAAGGUGAGGAAUGACGCGAACAUCGACCUCGCCGCGCUCUGCGACUCGAUCACCGACCCCAAGGACGCCCGCCUCCGCGAGUUCGGGCCAUUGUUUAAGAAGACGGUUGCCGAUUCCAAUGCGCCGGUGCAGGAGAAGGCGCUGGACGCCCUUCUCGCAUUCCAGCGAGCUGCUGAUGCCGACGCUUCAAGAUAUGCCAAGGAGGUUUGUGAUGCGAUCGUGGCCAAGUGUCUUACGGGCCGACCGAAGACUGUGGAGAAGGCUCAAGCUGCAUUCCUCCUGUGGGUAGAACUGGAGGCUGCAGAGGUCUUCCUUGAAUCCAUGGAGAAGGCUGUGAAGAACAAAGUGGCUAAAGCAGUUGUACCUGCUAUUGAUGUGAUGUUUCAAGCACUCAGUGAAUUUGGAACAAAGGUAGUGCCACCCAAAAAGAUUCUGAAGAUGCUUCCUGAGCUGUUUGAUCAUCCAGACCAGAAUGUCCGGGCUUCUUCUAAGGGUUUGACACUAGAGCUUUGUCGGUGGAUUGGCAAAGAGCCUGUAAAGUCUAUUUUAUUUGAGAAGAUGAGAGAUACUAUGAAAAAAGAGUUGGAAGCAGAAUUGGCAAACGUCUCGGGAAUUGCUAAGCCAACUCGAAAAAUAAGAUCCGAACAAGAAAAGGAGCUUGAGGAGGAGGCUGUGGCGGAGACAACCGGGGCUAACACUUCUGAAGAGGCUGUGGCAGAUGUCCCCGUGGAGAUCGAUGAAUACGACCUUGUUGAUCCUGUAGACAUUUUAACCCCACUAGAAAAAUCUGGAUUCUGGGAUGGUGUGAAAGCGACUAAAUGGUCAGAGAGAAGGGAUGCUGUGGCGGAGCUAACUAAGCUUGCUUCAGCCAAAAAAAUUGCUCCUGGUGAUUUUCAUGAAAUCUGCCGGACACUGAAGAAGCUCAUCACAGAUGUUAAUUUGGCUGUCUCAGUGGAAGCUACUCAGGCAAUAGGGAAUUUAGCUAGAGGUUUAAGAGCCCAUUUUUCUGGAAAUGCACGGAUGCUUCUUCCAGUUUUACUUGAAAAAUUGAAAGAAAAAAAACCAACAAUGACGGAAGCACUAUCUCAAACGCUUCAAGCAAUGCACAAAUCUGGCUGUUUUACCCUUAUUGAUGUGAUUGAAGAUGUUCGGGUGGCAGUAAAAAAUAAGGUCCCUCUUGUUCGUUCCUUAACACUGACCUGGGUUGCAUUUUGCAUUGAAACAAGCAAUAAAGCAACAGUACUAAAGUUGCACAAGGAAUAUGUUCCUAUUUGCAUGGAGUGCUUGAAUGAUGGUACACCAGAAGUACGAGAUGCCUCAUUUUCUGUCUUGACUGCCAUUGCCAAGAUGGUUGGUAUGAAACCUUUGGAACGAUCGCUUGAGAAAUUAGAUGAUGUGCGAAAAAAGAAACUGUCAGAUAUGAUUGGUUCUGCCAGUGAGACAGUUUUGAGUUCGGGGACAGCGCCUAUCACAACUUCAGGAGCUGUCACAUCUGCUCGCGGGGCGGCAGAUAGCUUGUCAAUGAAGAGAUCUGCUGCAAGCAUGCUUAGUGGAAAGAAGCCUGUCCAGGCAGCGGCAGCUUCUAAGAAGUCUGGAACAUCAAAAUCCACUGCAGCAAAAAAGACAGAUGGUGGAUCACAGUCAAAGACAUCUGCUGCUCCUGAGAUUGAGGACGUUGAGCCGACUGAGAUGAGCGCCUUGAAGCUAUUGGCAUGCUCAAGCAGGAGGUGGAAAGUCUUACAGAACUUGAUAAGUCUGCUGAACUUCUGAUUCGUUUGUUGUGUGCUGUGCCUGGAUGGAGUGAAAAGAAUGUUCAGGUUCAACAACAAGUUAUUGAGGUCAUCACCCAUAUUUCCUCGACUGUUAACAAAUUUCCUAAGCGAUGUGUGGUUCUAUGCCUUCUUGGCAUAAGUGAAAGGGUUGCUGAUAUUAAAACACGGGGCCAUGCAAUGAAAUGCCUCACUGCCUUUUGUGAGGCUGUAGGUCCAGGAUUUGUGUUUGACAGGCUAUACAAAAUAAUGAAGGAGCAUAAGAAUCCCAAGGUUCUUAGUGAGGGUAUUCUUUGGAUGGUCUCUGCUGUAGAAGACUUUGGGAUUUCUAAUUUGAAGCUAAAGGACAUGAUUGAUUUUUGCAAAGACAUCGGUCUUCAAUCUAGUGCUGCUGCAACAAGAAAUGCAACUAUAAAACUUAUUGGGAUGCUACAUAAGUUUGUGGGACCAGACAUCAAGGGCUUUUUAAGUGAUGUCAAACCUGCACUUCUUAGUGCCCUGGAUGCUGAAUAUGAGAAAAAUCCUUUUGAGGGUGCCGCUGUUGCUCCGAAGAGAACAGUAAGAGUUAUGGAUACUUCAUCUUCUACAUCUGCUGGCCCGUCUGAUGGGCUGCCACGGGAAGACAUUAGUGCUAAAAUAACACCUACUUUAUUAAAGAAUUUGGGCAGUCCUGACUGGAAGGUACGGCUGGAGUCCAUUGAUGCAGUCAACAAAAUUGUGGAGGAGGCCCAUAAACGCAUCCAGCCUACAGGAACAGUUGAGCUCUUCACUGCACUUAGAGGCCGUCUUUAUGACAGCAACAAAAAUUUAGUAAUGGCAACCUUGUCCACCAUUGGUGGCCUUGCAUAUGCUAUGGGCCCUUCUGUUGAAAAAUCAAGCAAGGGUAUUUUGGCAGAUGUGCUGAAGUGCCUUGGUGACAAUAAGAAGCACAUGCGAGAGUGCACAUUGACUGCUUUGGAUUCAUGGGUUGCUGCUGCCCAACUCGACAAGAUGGUUCCAUAUAUUAUAGUGACUUUGGGUGAUCAGAAAACAGGAUCAGAAGGGCGAAAAGAUCUUUUUGAUUGGCUAUCUAAGCAUGUUUCAAAAGUCGGCGAUCCAUCUGAGGCUUUGCCUUUGUUGAAGCCCUCAGCAUCUUCUUUGAUGGAUAAAUCUUCUGAAGUCCGCAAAGCUGCUGAAUCCUUUAUGAAUGAAAUUCUCAAAACAUGUGGCCAAGAAGUGGUUGGAAGGAACCUAAAAGAUUUGCCAUCACCUACUUUGGCCAUUGUAGCAGAGAGGUUGAAACUGACUACUAUACAUGAAGGAUUUUCUGAAUCUGUCAAGAUGGUGACAACAAGCAUGAGCUUGCCAUCAAAAGCAGGUUUGAAGAGCAGUAAACAUGGUGGUAACGAUCGUGGUUCUAAUGUGGCCAAACCUGUCUCUCAGAGAGGUCUUCCAGCAAGAGCAUCCGUUACUAUGGUUUCUACGCAAGAUCAUGUACAAUCCCAGUCAUUAUUUAACAUAAAGGACUCAAACAAGGAAGAGCGGGAGAGACGUGUUUUGGUUAGAAAAUUCAAGUUUGAAGAACCGCGCCGAGAGCAGAUUGAUGAGUUAAAGACUGAUUUGUUUAAGCAUUUCCGAGAAGAUGUAAGUUUGCGAUUGUGGAACUCAGACUUUAAGAGGCAAAUAGAUGGUAUCGAAUUGCUACAAAAGGCACUUCCUUCGAGUGGGAAAGAAGUAAUUGAGCUUCUUGACAUACUAUUAAGGUGGUUUGUCUUACGCUUUUGUGAAUCUAACACAACAUGUUUGCUGAAGGUCCUUGACUUUCUUCCUGAGCUGUUUGAUGUUCUAAAAGACCAAUCUUACAUGUUAACAGAAGCUGAAGCUGCAAUUUUUCUUCCUUGCCUUGUAGAGAAGUCUGGUCAUAACAUUGAAAAAGUUAGGGAAAAAAUGGGGGAGCUGAUAAAGCAAAUGGUCAACAUUUAUUCUCUUCCCAAACUACUCCCAUAUACUUUGGAGGGACUCCGCUCCAAGAAUAACCGGACGAGGAUAGAAUGUGUGGAUAUUAUUGGAUACUUCAUUGACCAUCAUGGGACUGAGGUUGGUGGGUUGAUGAAGAACUUGCCAUCUGUUGCAGCACUGACAGCUGAGCGUGAUGGUGAGAUCAGGAAAGCUGCUCUAAAUACACUUGCAACUGCCUACAAAAACCUCGGGGAUGAUGUAUGGCGAUAUGUUGGAAAACUCUCAGAUGCCCAAAGAAGCAUGCUUGAUGAUAGGUUUAAAUGGAAGGCUAGAGAAAUGGAUAAAAGGAGAGAAGGAAGGCCUGGUGAUGCUCGAGCAGCUUUGAGGCGUUCAGUUAGAGAGAAUGGGUCUGACAUAGCAGAACAAAGCGGAGAAGUGGUUUCCCGUUCAGUUGCAGCAUCAAUGAUCUCAAGGGACAAUUUCGGAUAUGCUGAUGCUCAUAUGGAUAGGCAUAUGGUUCCUAGGCAGAUGCCAGCUGCAACUGGUCCUGCAGACUGGCGUGAAGCUCUUGAAAUUGUUGCAUUGGGUUUGCCUGAGCAGUCCGUUGAAGGAAUGAAAGUUGUAUGCCAUGAGCUAACUCAGGCAGCUGAUCCUGAAAGCACGGUGCUUGAAGAUCUAAUUAAGGAAGCUGACAGAUUAGUUUCAUGCUUGGCAGUUAUGGUUCCAAAGACCUUCAAUUUUAGCCUGUCUGGGGCAUCUUCAAGGUCCUGUAAAUAUGUUUUAAAUACGCUCAUGCAGACGUUUCAGAUCAAACGUCUUGCUCAUGCUGUGAAGGAGAGUACCCUAGACAACCUUAUUACGGAGUUACUUCUUUGGCUUUUAGAUGAAAGAGUUCCUCUUAUGGAUGAUGGCAGUCAAUUACUCAAAGCGCUAAAUGUCUUAAUGCUUAAGAUCCUGGAUAAUGCUGAAAGAACAUCCUCGUUUGUUGUGCUAAUUAAUUUAUUGAGGCCUUUGGACCCUUCAAGAUGGCCGUCGCCUACACCAACUGAAUCUCUUGCUGUAAAGAAUCAGAAGUUUUCAGACUUAGUUGUCAAAUGUUUAAUUAAGUUGACAAAGGUUCUUCAGAGUACAAUUUAUGAAGUUGAUCUUGAUCGAAUUCUUCAGAGCAUCCAUAUUUAUUUACAAGAACUGGGAAUGGAAGAAAUACGUAGAAGGGCUGGUGCUGAUGAUAAGCCAUUAAGAAUGGUCAAAACAGUCUUGCAUGAACUUGUCAAGCUUCGAGGGACAGCAAUUAAAGGUCACCUUUCAAUGGUUCCUAUAGAUGCUGAACCUCAGCCAAUAAUUCUAGCAUACAUUGAUCUUAAUCUUCAGACCCUUGCAGCAGCUAGAAUGUUGACACCAUCUGGACCUAUGGGACAAACUCACUGGGGUGACGCUGCAUCAAACAAUCCAAACCCAUCUACUCACUCAGCUGAUGCGCAAUUGAAGCAAGAGCUUGCUGCUGUCUUCAAGAAAAUUGGUGAUAAGCUGACAUGUACAAUUGGUCUGUAUGAACUUUAUCGAAUAACCCAGCUCUACCCAAAGGUCGACAUAUUUGCUCAGCUUCAGAAUGCAAGUGAAGCAUUUAGAACCUAUAUCAGAGAUGGGCUAGCUCAGGUGGAGAAAAAUGCGGCAGCUGGAAGAACGCCCUCUAGUCUUCCAUUAUCCACUCCUCCACCAAUAGCAGCCAUACCCUCUCCAAAAUUUGCACCAUCUCCUGUUCACACAAAAUCGAUUGGUAGCAAAACAGAUUCCAAUGAAGAUGAUGGGACACAACAGGCCUUCAGAAGCCAAGGAGAUGAUGCUAGACUACAUUCUAUGGACCAACGAACUGACAGAUACCAGACCUCAGGGACAUUGGAUGCUCUUAGGGAAAGGAUGAAAAGCAUGCAAGCCGCAGCUGUAGGUCAUUUCGAUGGUGCUCAGGCUCGGCCACUGGCAAGUAUGAAUGGAAGUAGCAUGCUCCAUGGGGGAACACGAUUGGAUGGUGAACCCCAGCAACAAAGUAAUAUUCCGCCCAUGGAUGAACGAGCUCUGUCUGGGCUGCAAGCACGGAUGGAGAGGCUAAAGAGUGGGUCUUUGGAGCCACUAUAGAUACGAUAACAGUACUCAGAAAUACCAACCAUUGUAAUUCAUUGUAAAUUUGAGGCAUAGUGAUGCUGUUGUUUGUAGAUAUAGGAAUGUCGGAUGCACUAAACGGCUUGGGGCCGACAUUUCGUAACCCCCAUGCCAGGUCAGCCCAUUCUUGCAGAGCCUUUGGGUGCCGUUUUAGGUGAGAGUUAGCCAGAUGUUUUCUUUGUAGUACCUACUCCAGCAAGGGCUAAUUAGUAUUGACUAUUGACACAUUUUGCAGCACUGCGUUGAUUUUUUGUGUGGUGUACAGCAAUAGAAUUUGGCUUAUUAAAUUAAUUGCGAGAUGUACUUGUGAAAUAUACAGUAUGAUGCCCCAUAAUAA